AUGGGAGCAGGUCUUUCCCAUGCUGUUCUCAGGAUAGUGAAUAAGUCUCACAAGAUCUGAUGGUUUUUAAAAGGCACAUUUCCCUGCACAAGCUCUUUUCUCUUGUUUGCUGCCAUGUGAGAUGUGCCUUUCACCUUCUGCCAUGAUUGUGAGGCCUCCCCAGCCACGUGGAACUGUAAGUCCAUUAAACCUCCUUCUUUUGUAAAUCACCCAGUCUUGGGAAUGUCUUUAUCAGCAGCAUGAAAACAGACUAAAACAGUAAAUUGGCACCAGUAGAGUGGGGUACUGCUGAAAAGAUACCCGAAAAUGUGUGUGGAGGAAAAGUUAAAUGUUAAAUUUGAACUCAAUUGAACAUGGACACAAACAGUGGUCACCAAGUCCCGGAACAGGUUGUGUGAGCCCCUUGAGACGUUCAUCCACUGCUGUUUCAGAGAAAUCUCCAUUUCAAUCUAUUCCUAUACAUUGAAAAACGAUAGACAAUUGCAAAAACAAGUUGACUUUUUUAUAUUCCUUGAGCCCAGUCGUGAAGGGCCCUCGUGACUGGGCCUCAUGCCAAACAACUCGUUACAAAAAGAGCUAGGGUCCCAGACUGCACCAAACCUUCAUGAGACCUCUCCUAUUCUGUGCCGCAGAUGAGUGGCCAACUCUGGAGCCCAGGCUGUUGCUUCCCAGUCUGAUGGUGAAUCCUCCAUGGUCUGGUGAGUGAAGUGUGUGACUCUGGAGCCCAGGCUGUUGCUUCUGACUCUGGAGCCCAGACUGUUGCUUCCCAGUCUGGUGGUGAAUCCUCCAUAAUCUGAACAAUGUGGAAGUGACUGGAACUGGGUAACAGGCAGAGGUUGGAUUCCAAAUUUUGAAGGACUCAGAAGAAGACAGGAAAAUGUGGGAAAGUUUGAAACUCCCUAGAGACUUGUUGAAUUUCUUUGAUCAAAAUGCUGGUAAUUAUAUGGACAAUGAAAUCCAGACUGAGGUGGUCUCAGAUGGAGAUGAGGAGCUUGUUGGAAACUGGAGCAAAGAGCUGGCCCUCUGGUGCCCAAAGCAGACUCCUGGGGUCCCUGUAUUGGGCUCUUACCCCCUUCCUGCUGGCCACAGGAUGACACCUGAUGCUCCUGGAGCAGCCAACUGGAUUCCAGAAGAAAGGCUUCAGUGACAUGUUUUCCAGAAGGAACCUGGCUCCUAGGAUUAACAGUUGGGUCAAAUCUCAAAAAUUCUUUGCCCUUAACUACAGAAAACUGCCAGCAUCUAUAGCGGUCAUAGUCACAAGAUUUCCUUUAACUUUUCAGCAAGUGUUUUCCUAAAGCAUUCUGUAAAGUCUGGCUUGAAAUUUGUGUAGUUGAGAUAAAAAUGUGUUUGACUGCACUCCAGCCUGAGAGACAGAGUGACAUACUGUCUCAAAAAUAAAUAAGUAAAUAAAUAAAUAAAUAAGUUUUUUAAAACGUGUUUGAGAACCACAUUUUUCUCCAGUGCUUUAUUUUUUUCUUUAUAUUUUUAUAUUCUUUAUUUUGGGGGGAUUAGAGACAAUUUAUCAAAGACACAAUUGUACACAGCUUUGGAGUUUUUCCUCCUGGAGGUUCUCCUUUUUUUUCUUGCAAGAUGAGAAUUCCCCAUGGUGCUCUUUCUGAAGACACUUAUGACUUAAAUGGAGUCAAAUAAGUAAAAACUAAAUUCCAUUCUUAAAGUUCCUUUAUUCAAUGCUACAAACGCUGGUGUGCCAAAUCAUCAAGUGAGAUUUUUUAUUCUGUUCUGUGUUGUUAUUAAAAAUGUAUGAACAGGUCAGGCACAGGGGCUCGCUCCUAUAACACUAACACUUUGGGAGGCUGAGGUGGGCAGAUCAGUUGAGCGCAGAAGUUUGAGACCAGCCUGGGCAACAUGACAAAACCCCAUCUCUACCAAAAAUACAAAAAAAAAAAAAUAGCUGGGUGUGAUGGCACGCACCCAUAGUCCCAGCUACUCAGGAGGCUGAGGUGGGAGGAUCUCUUGAGCCUGAGAGGCAGAGGUUGCAGUGAGCUGUGAUUGCACCACUGCACUCCAUCCCGAGUGAUAGAAUGAGACUGUGUCUCGAAAAAAAAAUAUGAAUAUUGUCUAUUUUAUAUUCAUUUUUAAUUACACAAACAAAACGUGAACAUAAUCUCAUUUUAAAAUAUUAAACAAAUAUGAAUAAAAUAAAAACCCCGUUUAGUCACUAUCUGGCCCCUCCCAGUCGCACUCCCCUUUCUGAAAGGAUCUGUCCUGAUGUUUUUCUGCCUAUUUACCUGCAUAUAUGUACAUACACAAUAGACAGUUUAUCAUGCCAUCUGCUUGUCAUGCAACUUACUUUCUUCACAUAACUAAGCAUGGGAGAAUGUUGGGAGAGUGUUGUUAACUACAGCUCAGUAUUUCAUAGCAUGAGCAUAGUGAGGUUUAUUUGACCCUUCCCCUUCUUGGUAAACAUUCAGGUAUUUUCCAGGGUUUUGCUAAUAGAAACAAUGCUGAAAGAGCCUUGCUCAGAGCUCUUGUGCACAGGUGUGAGCUGUACAACAGAUGCUGAGUUAGGUGGAGUGACACUAGAUUGCUUCAACAAAGAGACCUGCAAUAAAGCAGUAGCUUAGAGAAAAUUGAGGAUCAUUUCUCAUGGAAGUCUGAGCCAUGUAGUCCUGGUUGAUGGGGCAGCUCUGCUCCACACAGUCACUCAGAAACCCCAGCUCCUCACGUUGCCUUUUUCCUCUCUUCUCUAGGACAGCACUUCUCAAACUCUAUGGUGAAAGGCCAGUUUAUGUCACUCAAUUGUAGAGUGAAAUUUUUUUAACUUACAAUAAAGAUGCCAUGGUGAUAUUCUGUUACUAUAAAAGCCUUAAUAUCUGUACUAACCCAAUGUAAACUAAAAAUAAAGUCCUAAGCCCCCAGCUGACUGAACAAACCCCCUCUUGGCCAGGGAGACAUUAGAAAACCUUAAAACUGAGUUCACAGCCAUGAUGAGACAGGAGGUCAGACAUGCCUCAUUGUACUCCCUCCCUUUUGGAGAUUAAGCACAACAACUAACCUGCAUUGGUGUUAAAAUAGAGAUCAUAAGACUGACAGAACAGACUCUUGAUGACAAUUAGAUGUGAAAUUAUAAACACGACCUAAGGCCAUGCCAUGCAAGGGUUAAGUCCCACACCCCUACACUUACAGAAUGAACUGUGCUCUCACUGCCACAAGCUUUUUCUUUUUCUCUAGCAGCUAAACAAGCACUGGCCUUGAAAUAAGCAAGAUUAUAAAUAAUUGCCACUCAGCCAGCUUCAGACAUGGACUAACUGAACCCCUGUUCCACCAGACGUAACUACAGCUUUGAUGGGACAAGAGAUUGAUUUCA
ensembl:lncRNA